UACGUUCUCUGCCCCACAGGUCUUGUUAGUCUAAACGGCCGUGUGAAACGGAUGUCUUGCUGUCUUUCCAGGGGGGCUCCUGAGGGCCCUUUCCCAAGAAGACAUCGGGGUUAGUGGAAGGGUGCAGACCCCUGCCCUCCCCCCACCCCUCCUAGACCCUCAAGUGGGGAAGCACCCUUGGCAGAAUCUUUGGUCCCCAGGGUGGCGGAGUCCUGGCUCCAGCUGGAAGAAGCGCAGAGCCCCGAGGUCCGAGGCAGUCACGGACAGGGGUGACGAGAAGGGCCCACGUCCGGCCCUUUGCCCACACCCCGCACCUUCUUCAGAAGGAGAAAGGACACUUUCAUCUAAACCUGAGCUGGGUUUCCCCCGAAGUGUGGCGCUGCCUGGGACGACUGGGGCCGUGAGCGUCCGUGGACCUUGACUUUGCUGCUGCAGCUUGGUCCCCAGGAGGAAAGCAGCCCUCGAAGUGGGGUCCCAGGCAGCAGGGUCCCAGGGAGACCAGGGUCACAGAGUGAGUCCCGGAGGCCACCCCAGCCCGGCUGCUGGGCUGGAGCACCCUGUGGCUGCCCUUCUUGGUCCUCUUGCUGGGAGAAGUCCCUGAAAAAGAAACUGAGAUGUAUUACAGCAUUUUCAUUAAUAGGAGAUUCAUCGCCAAUGAAAGGCCAUCCUGCCCCUGGCCAGGGAGAGACCGCCCAUGUGGGGCCCAGCUCCACCACGGACACCACUCUCGGAGGCUGCACAUUCCUGGAUGAAGCAGAGCCCAGGAACACAGUGGGUCUUCAGGAAGUGCU